GUUGAUAAAAUAAGUACCAGUCAAGCACUGGGGUUGAUGGACUCAACUAGCCCCCUCCCUCAAAAUUUCCAGGCUUUGUGCCUGUAGUAGAAAGGAUUGUUAUUAUUAUUUACUGUUCUUCUAGAAAGCUUGACUACUGUAGCUUGUGAAAUCUCCCCACCUCCUUUGUGCCUUUAUAUUUGGUGUGGUUUUCCAGCUUGGUACCUCCCACCAACCACAUAGACAGCAAACCUAUAUAAAAAGCCGCAGUAUAUCCAAUAUAUAUAAUAUUAGGCAUACCAAUCAUGUCUAACAUGUAUGUGCGUGUGUUGUUGUUUUCUUGUGUUUUUUCCUUUUUUAAUAGUUCUCUGUGUUGUCUUCACUACAAAUGUCGAGGGCAACAAAUUGGCAGAAUCAUUAGAAUGCCAGGCAAAUUGCUUUGUGAUGCUUAUUCUGGUUCUUUAUGUUCUGAGUUCGAAUCUCACCAAGCCAUCUUUUGAAACCAACUUGUCUGAAACUGCCCAUGGUUCUACAAUUUAAAUUAAAACCUUCCUUCUAAAUUUGAUGUCAAUUUAUAUUCCAGACACCUGCUUAACGAUGGUUAUCUAAAUAAAUUAUUUUCAAAAUAAAUUGAAACAAAGGUAGUGUAAUUCAGCAGAAAUAUUGUAACAAAAAGGUUAAACCCUUUCAGAUUAGUAUUUUGGAGGAAAUAAAGUACCGGUCAGUGUCAUUAACUAGUCUUCCCCACUUCAAAAUUUCUGGCUUUGCAUCUAAUCUAAAUACAUUUGUCUUAGUUCACUCAGCUCUAUCAAGAAAAUCUAUAAUAUGAAAGUGACUCAGUGAGUUCUGAAGACCUAUUCCUAGGUUUCACACACUAGAUAUACUAUAUUUUAUGUUAUGGCAGUAGUUUUCUUGUUAGAUACAGUGUAGCAGAUGUGGUAUAUCUACCCAACUGAAGGACAACCUCAGUGUUUAACCCUUUCAUUACUGGUUAAAAUUCACCAGAGACAGUUGGUAAUCUUACACAUGAUUCAAUCCUAAUGAUGGGUUGCCAGCCAUAUCACAACAUUGUUAAUUGUUAACAAUUAAAAUAAUUUAAAAAGUUUCAUGACUGGUCAUCUGUUGUAUCAUUAGUUUCCUUUGUAAUACUAAAUAUUGAUAUUCUUCCUCAUCGUUUCAUGGCUUUAUGUUAAUUUUCAAUACUGGGAAUCAGUUCUUAUUCAGACUUACUGCCCUCAUGGAUGGAUUGGGGGACCACAUCUCUCUCUCUCUCUCUCUCUCUCUCUCAGAUGUCCAAAUUUGGCUAUGAGUUCCACAACUAGAUGCCCUUCCUAACACCAACUACUUUACAAAGUGUACUGGUGCAUUUUAUCAUGGAACUUCAACUUGGCAAGACUAAGGAGUCAUCUUAGCCUGACAUUGUCCCAGCUCAAUUCAUCCUUCCUGCUUCUCCUUUACGAAGUUAACUGGCUGUCUUCAUUUAUUUUAUCUGUAUUUUUCCCC